UACGGGGGGGCAAGCGUUGUUCGGAAUUACUGGGCGUAAAGGGCUUGUAGGUGGCCAACUAAGUCCGACGUGAAAUCCCUAGGCUUAACCUAGGAACUGCGUCGGAUACUGGAUGGCUUGAAUCCGGGAGAGGGAUGCGGAAUUCCAGGUGUAGCGGUGAAAUGCGUAGAUAUCUGGAGGAACACCGGUGGCGAAGGCGGCAUCCUGGACCGGUAUUGACACUGAAAAGCGAAAGCCAGGGGAGCAAACGGG
rnacentral:rRNA from 1 species